UCAGUUUUUUCGUCCCUCGCGAAGAAACAUAAACAGUAUUUGUGAAAUUUGGAUUAGAAACUAUUAUUUUAUUAGUUUAUUUUGUUGUGUUUAAGUGUUGUGUAUUUGUACCUACUGGAUAAUAUUUUCCAACAUAUUUAAUUAAGCAAAAAGCAUCUGUUUUACAGGUGUGACUGCUAAGUGGUCGUACUCGCCACUUUAACCAAGCAUUGGUGGGACCUUCAGAGAUCAUAAUGCGAAUUUCUUCAUACCAUGUAAAUCUAUAUACAUGUAUUAAUAAAUGCGUUUGCUUUA